AAGUCAAAUUAUAGCAGAAUACUGUAGUGUGUGGGUUUUUUGUGGUUUGAAGUGGUUGCUGUGUGUUAGCUGGUGGUGCCUGCAGGCAGUCCUCGGUUGCCCAGGAAACACAGAUGGUGGAUGAAGGGCGCGCAUACAAAAGACCAUAAACCUGUGGCAGCAGCUGGAGACCGAGACCCCUGAUUAAUUCAGGUCUGUGCAGUCCGGCUUAGUCAAAGACGUCGCUGUUCUCUUUAAUACCUCCCAUCCAUUUCCUUUGUCCCGCGGCUUCCGUCUCCACUUUAUCCUGUUUUUUCCCGGACUGGACUCUCGUCAGUGCGCAGCUGUUGUUGGCACUCCCACAUCUGCUUGUCUCAGCUCGGCAGCCAUAUAGACGACGCUCCGCCGCGGUUCGUGUUAGUGCGUAGCGUUAGUUUAAGGGGGGAACCAGCCUUUUACUGCAGGCAGAUAAAACCUCCAACUGCACACACACACACACACACGGUGUGUAUUUGCAGCUUACCCUCAGCAUGGGGGAAAAGAAGGAAACGAAGAAGAGGAAGAAGAGGAAGAUGUGAUCCUUUCGCACCGUUUGAUGCUGCGGGACAGGUGGAUCUGCAUGUGGAACCUGGAGAUCGCUGGUAACCCAAUGCUGCAUGGACUUUGCACUGGAUUCAUCUGCAGAGCUGCUGUCAAGUCACUAGUGAGAACCCUGGGAGGAUCCAAACGGGAACCAACAGCAGGACAGGUUAUGUGUACAGGCCGGAUUACUUUUAUUAAAAUCAUGAGGGAGGUUCAUUUUUCACUGGCACACAAUGCCAGAUGGAAAAUUUAUUUGAAUACAGAUAACUGAUAUCAAUGACUCCCAUCUCCAGUGACGUAUAUAUUUAACAGUGGGUGUAUUUCAGCCUCAUUUGUGUCUAAAUAAAAAAAGCAGUAAGGAGAAACAAGUAAUCCCUGAGGGUGUCUUGGGUGGACAGUUGGGUCGCGUCCCACUUUUCUGCUGCUUGUGUUGUGUGUUCCUCUCCAGUUCCACUGAUGGAAAAGCAGAUCGGGGCUCGCACCGGACGCCACCAGCGGCAUCUCCCCAUCAACCCUCUACCGUGCUGCCUCACAGACUGCUACAGGAUCAGUAGAUUUACGCCACGUGAUGGAUGCACGGUGCCAUUACUGCUGUCCCGUACCUUCAGAAGGAGACGACCCGUGUUCAAGUGUUUCCCCAAUGAGACGACUUCUUCUGCUUUUGUGCAUCUGUGAAAAUGGCUUUGAAUAGUUAAAAAUACAACCACAGCUUUGCAGUCAGUGUCAGGUGAUCAGAUUUAGCAGGAAGCUUAUUUCAGCUAUUUGUAUCCAAAAUAAUUUACUGCAGUGUUCUUUCCUGUCUCCCUAAAAUGUGUGUAUUCUCCUGGCUGUGAGUAAUACUAAUACAGCUUCAUCCACCCACGCUCUUAUAUUUUUUGGCUGAUCAAGAACACUAACACUGCAGCCAUCGAACACCUCUCACGCCUGUUUAUUUCAGCUGCUGUGUGCAGUGCCCUCCUCUCUCUGUUACCGUGGUUACUCUGUUUAACACUUUGGUCACCCAUUUUAAAUUCACUAGAAGUGGUGUGUCUGUAAUGAGGCUGUCCUGUGUGUUAACUUCUCACCAAAGCUUGCAAGUAUCUAUGCCAGAUCCAGAACUGGAAAGCUCUGAUAUUUUAAUCCUGCAGAGUUAAAAUAAAUCUGCUUAAGAGAGUGAGAAUGACUAGUUUUCUCACAUUUAGACAAUGUGUAAUUCACACAGUAUGUUCUUUGUUUGUCUUGAAAACUCUUCAUUUGGAUGUGUUACCAAUUAUUCUUUUAAUGUAGCGUACUGUGUGUUUUAGCUGUAGCGGGUGGGCGCGUGUGUGUCUGCGUGAGUGCAUGUGUUUGUGUGCAUGUGCUCUAUUUGUGUGCGUGUUUGUUCCUAUAUGUGUGCAUGUGUAUCAUGUCUGUCUGAUCAAACAGACAUUUGUAAUGGUUGUGAAGCUACAAGCUGCUUUUCAGUGAUUUUCUUACAACUGCAAUGUUUAAAAAAUGCCUGAAGCUCAUUUUUUAGCCACUGGACGUACCAGAGAACGGAUAAAAAAAUAUUUACAAGUGAUUCUUAGCAUUUGUUUCAACCUCACUGAAGUACCAGUUAGGUGGGGAUUCCUGUGAUUUAGAUAAUCACAAGAAUGUCGCUGUAAAUUAAUGGUGUGUAGUUUUCUAAAUGAUGCCUGCUGGCAUUAAUUAAACUGUCAUGGUGCCUACAGCCCCACCAUCUGAUACUUAAGCAAAUUACAGCAAAUGCUAAUAAUUAUGUGCAAAUAGCUUUUUACCCAGGUCUGGAUUCUACUAACAGUAUCUCACUAAUAUCUAACAAUACUAAUGUCUGCUAACAGUCGGAUGAUUACUAACCUGUACUCUGAAUGCUGAUGGCUGGCCUUGUUCUUUCUAACCCACUGACUAACCCUCUGCUUUAUGCCCGCAGUCUGAUGCACACACUCCUCUCUCAUGAUCCUGCAAUCCUUCUUCUAGAAAAGACCAACUUUGGAUUUGAUUGUUAAAGGAGAAAAUCAAUGAAAACGGUUAAAGUGAGCAAGUCAAGAAGGGUUUCAGGACUUGGGAAGGAAAAUGUUUAUUAACCACUAGAUGAAAAGAGGAGCAGAAACAGCUGCUGAUACCAAACUGGGUUGACCACAUACUUUGGAAGAAUCCUCACAAAAACCGAUUAUGAUCUGGUUCCAAAUGAUAUUCCCUAAAUUCACAUCUUCAGAGACAUCUUCUUUCUGUCUCUGCCUGUGCACUGUGUGGUCAACCUUCGCAGGUGAGUGCCUGGCUUGUUGUCAAGACACAAGCCAAGCAAACCUCCACUACUAACUUAUUAUGGUGUUGAUACUAACCGUGGUGAGGCUGUAAAGGUCCACCUGUUGCUCUUACUAACAUCUCUGUUCUUUCUGACUGAAUUUCUAUUGUGAUGUCUGAAAUCCAAUUAUUCCGUCUCUUUGUUAAUUUUUAAUUAAAUCCAAGCAUGCCUUGUGGUACUAGGGAUGUUUAUUAAUUGAUAUUACAUGGAAGCCUUUAUCCAAAACAUCUUCUGGUGCCAUGAGUAUGUACUUUUUUAGCAGCGGGCAGUCCCACUAAAGUCCCGUAGCUCUAACUGCGUCAGUGACGUGCUCAACACAAGUCUUUACAAAGAAGCUACUAACAUUUCCUGAAGUUAAAUUAACCGAAGAGCUUUUAUUAGCUCUCUGCAAACUAACAAACUAACCUACUAAUAAACUAAUAAUAACUAACUAAAAUCACUAACGCUGUGAUGGGUGACAGAAUUAGUGAAGCACCCUUAUUUUGAGGAGUUGCAUCACUUUUUGAAUGUACUAACAGACUUAAGUUUUGAAGAGCUAUUGACGUUAUUUGAAUGUGCCUGUGUGUGUGUGUGUGUGUGUGUGUGUGUGUGUGUGUGUGUGUGUGUGUGUGUGUGUGUGUGUGUGUGUGAAAGAGAGGACAGGAGAGUGUCUGUGUAUAUGUGUGCAAAUGUAUGAGCAAAAAUGUCAAACUGGAUGAGGUUUUUUUUCCUCACAAACAAUAUUUUAACAUAUUAAUGAAUAUUGCAUUAAUUAGAGCAUUUUUAGCCAGAUUUAUCCACAAUUACUCUUUCAGCCUAGCGGAGCACCAGGAUACCUAUAAAACACAGCUUAUACACAACCUCUCAAACAAUACAAUGUGUGGACGUAUCAUGCAUGGAAAGAAAAAACAAAUGAAAUGUACUAUUUUUGUAAUUUAUUGCUAAUUUAUCUAUUGUCUUUACCACAUUUUUAUGUAAUAAACAAUUUUCACUCAUAAA